GGGGGGGGGGGGGGGGGGGGGUGGGGGGGGGGGGGGGGGGGGGCGGACGGGGAGGGGGCUGCUGUGGGGUGGGUGGCGGCCGGGGGAGUAACACGGGGGUAACCUACCUAUAAGACUGGGGUAGCUUCGGGGAACCUGGACUGGUUCCGGGUAAUGUUUUAACCCGCAUUGUUCAGAAGUGAACUACUCUCUUACAGUCACUUAUAGCUUGAUCCGCGCUGCAUUAGCUAUUUGGUAAGGUAACGUCUUACCAAGUCAACGAUGCAUCGCCGAGCUGAGAGGGUGAUAGGCCACACUGGAACUGAGACACGGUCCAGACUCCUACGGGAGGCAGCAGUAGGGAAUCUUCCGCAAUGGGCGAAAGCCUGACGGAGCAACGCCGCGUGAGUGAUGAAGGUCUUCGGAUCGUAAAACUCUGUUAUUAGGGAAGAACAUAUGUGUAAGUAACUGUGCACAUCUUGACGGUACCUAAUCAGAAAGCCACGGCUAACUACGUG
rnacentral:rRNA from 1 species